GGGGCACAGAAUGGGGGAACGCUGCCUGGUGCCUGCUGGCUCCCUUCAAUCUGAUGGGGGUCCUGAAGCCAUCUCUGUGCCCCCAGCCCAUCCCCGGGACAAGUGGAGCAAGAAAAUGGAUUUCCUCCUCUCGGUUGUUGGGUUUGCCGUCGAUCUGGGCAAUGUGUGGCGCUUCCCUUACAUCUGCUACCAGAACGGAGGGGGAGCCUUUCUUAUCCCAUACACGCUGAUGGCUGUUUUUGGAGGGGUGCCCCUAUUCUACAUGGAGCUGGCCCUGGGGCAAUUCCACAGGACGGGAGCCAUUCCCAUCUGGAAACGCAUCUGCCCCAUCUUCAAAGGCAUCGGUUUUGCCAUCUGUAUCAUUGGCCUCUACGUCUCUUUCUACUACAACACCAUCAUUGCUUGGGCGCUCUAUUACUUCUAUUCAUCCUUCUCGAGCACUCUGCCCUGGGCGAGCUGUGACAACCCCUGGAAUACACCCAACUGCACCAACUACUUCGGGAGGAACAACGUGACCUGGACCAACUUCUCCAGGUCCCCUGCUGAGGAGUUUUAUACGAGGAAGGUCCUGGAGCUUCAGAAGUCCGGUGGUCUGUACAAUGUGGGUGGGAUCCGCUGGCAGCUGCUCCUCUGCCUCUUUCUCAUCUUCACCAUCGUUUACUUCAGCCUGUGGAAAGGGGUGAAAACAUCUGGGAAGGUGGUGUGGGUGACAGCCACGCUGCCCUACCUCGUCCUGCUCAUCCUGCUGGUCCGUGGGGCCACCCUGCCUGGUGCCUGGAGGGGGGUCCUCUUCUAUUUGCGCCCAGACUGGGGCAAACUGCUGAGCACAGCGGUCUGGGUUGAUGCUGCUGCACAGAUUUUCUUCUCCUUGGGUCCUGGAUUCGGAGUUCUUCUUGCUCUGGCCAGUUACAACCACUUCCACAACAACUGCUACCGGGAUGCACUCAUCACCAGCGCAGUGAACUGCCUCACCAGCUUCCUCUCGGGCUUUGUCAUCUUCACCGUGCUGGGCUACAUGGCGGAGAUGCGGGAUGUGGAGGUGGAGGAUGUAGCCAGAGAUAAAGGUUUGCCCCCCACUGCUCCAUCUUGUCCGGCCUCAUGGUGCCCCUGCUGGAGCUGCGGGUCCCUGUGCACCCAGUGGAUGGCAGCGAGGCCAGCACUGCUCCCCUCUAUGCAAUCCCACCUAGAAGACAGGCAAACCCAACCCGCACGCCCUCCUAGGUCCCAGCCUGCUUUUUAUCACCUACCCCGAAGCCAUCGCCAACAUGGUGGGAUCCACCUUCUUCGCCAUCAUUUUCUUCCUGAUGAUGAUAACGCUGGGGCUGGACAGCACGGUAGGAACCUCUGCAGCAGCACUGGCACAACAGCAGGGGGAGGAUUCAGUCUCAUCCCUGUGCUCCGUUGGCAGUUUGGGGGCCUGGAGGCUGUGAUCACCGCUGUGAUGGAUGAAUACCCCCAGGUCCUGGCACAGCGCAGGGAGCUCUUUGUCCUUGGCCUCAUCACAGUCUGCUUCCUGGGCUCGCUGAGCACCCUCACCUAUGGUGGUGCCUACGUGGUGAAGCUGCUGGAGGAGUUUGGUGCUGGCUGCUCCAUCCUGGCCGUGGUGCUGCUGGAAACUAUAGCUGUGUCCUGGUUCUAUGGGAUCCAGAGGUUCUCCCAUGAUGUGAAAGCUAUGCUGGGCUUCACCCCAGGGCUGUUCUGGAAGGUGUGCUGGGUGGCCAUCAGCCCGACCCUGCUGGCAGUGAGUAGUGCAUUGCACAGCCCCUCCUGCUGCUGUGCUUGGAGAUGGCAACCAGGGUAUCAGAGUGCAGCCCUGAGCCUUGCACUGCAGCCAACCCACAGCUGCAGGGAGCCAACAGGGCUGCUCAGUGCUAUGAGCUGCUCCCUGACUUUCCUGCCUGGGUUCUGCAGUUUAUUGUGGCCAGUUCACUUUUGGAGCAGCCACCCCUGGCACUUUUUGGCUACCGGUACCCAGCAUGGAGCACCUCACUGGGACACCUCAUAGGAGCAUCUUCCUUCAUCUGCAUCCCUGUCUACAUGGUGUACAAGCUGGUCUGGACACCAGGGUCCCUCAAGCAGCGCCUCGCUGUCUGCAUUCGGCCUGAGAAAACAGUGCGAGAACCCCAAGAGGAGGCGGUGGGCAUGGAACCAGUCCUGUAGUGGGCAUGGAACCAGUCCUGUAGUGGGCAUGGAACCAGUCCUGUAGCACGGGGAGGGGGAUGCAGAGGCUGCUCUCUGCUCCCUGUUCCCAUGCAACACCCAUCAUGCAGGCACAAGGCUCUCACUUCCACCAUCCUCUCUGCUGGCAUUGCAAGCACGCAGUGAGCACGGAGCAUCCUGCAGUGCAGUAUGCGGGUGCUGCAUCACUGCUCCGUG